CAAGAACACAGUGGAGAAGUUGCUGGUCAAAAUUCUGCUCCACAAUCAGGAUUUGUCUGGGAUGAAGCCUCUGGCUAUUAUUAUGAUGCGACUUCUGGUUUCUAUUAUGAUGGAAAUACAGGAUUGUAUUAUGACGGUAACAAUGGAAUCUGGUAUACUUAUGAUCAGAAAACUCAGCAAUAUUUACCCUGCACGAAUCAGAAUGAAAACAAACCAGCAGCUGGACAAACUGAAACUGCCAAGUCAUCUGAUGGCUCAAAUACUAAGAAAGUCAUUAUAUCUGCACCAGCUUCCACAAUUGCUGGUGAGAAGGCUGCCUCACUGCCGGAUGCUAUUCAGGCUGCUGCCUCUGCAGCAAUAGCUGCUGAAAAGAAAGAGAAGGAGAAGGCAAAAGAGAUAAAACUUGCAUCAAAAAGCAGCAUCCUUGCAAAUAAGAAGAAAAUGAGUAAUGUAUUGUCAAUGUGGAAGCAAAGAAGUCACGAAGGUCAAGCCCCCCGUGUGGCUCUUGAAGACAGCCAAACAGUGGGUGAAGACAGAUCUAACUCAGUAGGUCCAGUUGUAAAGACUAAGUUAAAAGCUGAGCCCUUGACAACUAGAGAGAAUCCUACUGCCUGUUCAGGACUUGUAGGAAGCUCAAAUUUUCAAUCUGUGAGUUCCGAGACUCAGGAUAGGCCUAGGUCUCUUACUAACAGCUCUGGGGGCACUCUGAAGGGCGUCAUAAGAGGUUCUGGUUUAGGAGUGGUGAAAUCGGGUACUCUAUAUACAGGAUCAUCUGGAAGUGCAUCCACGUCACACACCAUGCCACCAACCUCAGGUCCAACUUCAUUAAUAAAUGCAGAUGCCUCUGCAGCACCCUUUAGGACAGAUGCAUCGGCUUUGGGUUCUUAUACACCCCCAGUACCAGCUGGUAGUA
rnacentral:misc_RNA from 1 species